rnacentral:rRNA from 1 species
UACGUAGGCGGAAUAUUAAGUCAGUGGUGAAAUCCUGCGGCUCAACCGUAGAACUGCCAUUGAUACUGAUAUUCUUGAAUGUAGUUGAGGUAGGCGGAAUGUGUAAUGUAGCGGUGAAAUGCUUAGAUAUUACACAGAACACCGAUUGCGAAGGCAGCUUACUAAACUAUGAUUGACGCUGAUAUACGAAAGCGUGGGGAGCGAACAGGAUUAGAUACCCUGGUAGUCC